rnacentral:rRNA from 1 species
UACAGAGAUCUCAAGCGUUGUCCGGAAUUAUUGGGCGUAAAGAGCUCGUAGGCGGUUUGUCGCGUCUGGUGUGAAACUCAAGGCUCAACCUUGAGCUUGCAUCGGGUACGGGCAGACUAGAGUGCGGUAGGGGUGACUGGAAUUCCUGGUGUAGCGGUGGAAUGCGCAGAUAUCAGGAGGAACACCGAUGGCGAAGGCAGGUCUCUGGGCCACUACUGACGCUGAGAAGCGAAAGCAUGGGGAGCGAACAGG